UGUUGUGGUGACACCAACUGCCUGAGUGAUAUCCCUCCAGAGCCUAAGGGGUUCUGAAGCGGGCAUGUUCUCCGGGUUCCUCAGUCUAUUUCGGCAGGACAAUCAUAUACAUGCAGAGACCAGACCAAGGCAGAAUGAGGCCAGCCUUCUAUCACGUUGGAGAACAAGAUGAACGGAAAGGUCCUGAGGAAGGAAAAAGUUUGCUCAGAAGGUAUCAUCCCAACCCUCCACAAGCCCUGUUGAGGAGGAGAGGAUGAAGCAUUUGGAGAACCUCAAAAUUGCUCUCCACAAGAUGCAAAAUGAGAGAGAAGAACUCCAGAGAAUCCUGGCAGAUUACCCUGGGAAGAAUUUAAACGACAGGUCUGAAACACUCCAGCAGAAGCUUGCACAGGGUCCAGGCCAGGACUACAGCUCUCAGAGACAGAAGUGUCCACCAGGAGCACUGAGUGUGCAAGAUUGACAACACCUCCCACACCUCAGUCCUCAUAACCAUAACAAUCUUGGGCUGCAUUUGAAAGAUCUUUAGAUGACACCUGUUUAACCUUUUGAGAACUUGUCCAUCAACAACCAACCACCCCGAAUGAGGCAUGUCUACAUUCAUCUUGAAGAGAUUUUUUACCAUCUUGCCUGCCGUUCUGCUAUGUUUGCAAGGCCAGCAACAGGCUGGAGGUGUAUGUUGCAAAAUCUGUAGCAAUUGAAUGCUGACUAAUUUACUUGCUGUAUUUGGUUUUUAGUUUGAAGUUUGAUUAUUUUAUGCAUUUGGUUUUCUUCGUUUAUGUUUGAAGUUUUGCUAUUUAUUAACUUUUGGUUUUUUUUAAUUAGUAUGCUGUAGGGCGCCCAACUGUGGUGAACUACGGUACUGCGCAUGCUCGGGUUUUGUACCUGGUGCCAGUUGGCCAGACGUUAAUAUGCUAAUGAGGGAUUCAUGCUCUGCCAAUCCCUGAAGGACAAUUAGCAUAGCCUCAGCCUCCUGUGUAUAUAAGGUGAGCGCUUUUGCCGCUCGAGGCCCCCAUAUCAGCAAUGAGCUGGUCCUGCAAUAAAGGCUGUUGAGAAGAAUCCGACCGUGUUGUGUCUU
rnacentral:sRNA from 1 species